ACAAGGUAGCCAAAACCAAUUGCGGACGGGUGAGUAUGCGUACGAACCUGCCCGAUAGAGGGGGAUACCAGUUGGAAACGACUGUUAAUACCGCAUAAUGUCUACGGACCAAAGUGUGGGACCUUCGGGCCACAUGCUAUCGGAUGCGCCUACGUGGGAUUAGCUAGUUGGUGGGGUAAUGGCUCACCAAGGCGACGAUCCCUAGCUGGUUUGAGAGGAUGAUCAGCCACACUGGGACUGAGACACGGCCCAGACUCCUACGGGAGGCAGCAGUGGGGAAUAUUGGACAAUGGGCGCAAGCCUGAUCCAGCCAUGCCGCGUGUGUGAAGAAGGCCUUAGGGUUGUAAAGCACUUUCAGUGGGGAGGAAGGGUGUUGUGUUAAUAGCACAGCAUUUUGACGUUACCCACAGAAGAAGCACCGGCUAACUCCGUGCCAGCAGCCGCGGUAUACGGAGGGUGCAAGCGUUAAUCGGAAUUACUGGGCGUAAAGCGCACGCAGGCGGCUUUUUAAGUCGGAUGUGAAAGCCCCGGGCUCAACCUGGGAAUUGCAUCUGAUACUGGGAAGCUAGAGUAUGUGAGAGGGGGGUAGAAUUCCAAGUGUAGCGGUGAAAUGCGUAGAGAUUUGGAGGAAUACCAGUGGCGAAGGCGGCCCCCUGGCACAAUACUGACGCUCAGGUGCGAAAGCGUGGGGAGCAAAACAGGAUUAGAUACCCUGGGUAG
rnacentral:rRNA from 1 species